ACAACCUGCCCUGAUUCUCAGCAAAUUAGCACACAUGCACUCAACUCACACUACCACCCACCAACACAUACAUGCACUACAUCCACGCACACACAUCUGCUGCUACCAAACUCUUAUUGAGUACCACAGUAUGAGUCAUAAUACCCAUAAAACCUAUCGGUAAAACCCGGAAAUGGUUCCAAUCAUUUUUCCAUAGGGGAUUUUAGAACUACUGCAUUUAAGAUACAGGCAGGGAUGACUGGGGCCUUCAGCAAGUGAAACAGGGGGUAAGAAAUAAUUGAAACAUCACAGCUACUCCAACUGAAGCCUAUGGGGAAAGUUAAGUAAAUUACCCUUAUUUAGGGUUGCACAUUUUGGGGAAUAUUCAGAGGUGGACACUUUCCAUGGGAAUUAAUGGAAAUGUAUGGGAAUUAAUAUUUAAUACAUUUAAAUGUUUAUUUUUGCAUUGGAUAUUUAUAUGGAGACAGAAACAGACCUUAACAUAAGUAGACAUGAUUAAAUCCUUCCAACAGAGAAAUGAAUGUGGGGUUACAAAAUUAACUUUAAUUAAAUUAGCUGACUCUUCACAUGGGAUUUCACUGAACAACAAAAGGGAAUAUUGACUGUCCUGUGUAUGCUGUGACGUGCAUGGCCUUCAGGCAGAAGGCUUCAUGCUUCUUUAUGUAUGUCAGGACUGCAGUUUGUUCUGCUUGGAGCAACAGUGAAGUGGGCAGGGCAGUACGGAUUUCUUCUUACACCUGCAAGUAGCAUCUGAACAUCAGACAGUAUGGCAUUGUCUCAAGCCGUGCAAUGGCUACUGCUAUAGGUUUCAGGCUGCUUACCACUCUCUCCCAAAAUGCUUCAACCAGAAGGAUCCUCUUGAUGGGGCUGUCCAUAUCGGCAGACUGUGAUGUGGCCAUUUCUUGGCGAGACUCCUUCCCCUCCAGGUGACGGUCAAACUUGACAACACAACCCCAAAGGGUGUUUAUGGGAACUUCAAUAUGGUGCUCUUAUUCUUCUCACUUUGCUUGGUGAGGUAGGUUGCUGCUAUAACUUGAUGACCCAUCACAUACCGAACCAAUUCCUUGGUUCUCUUGUAGAGUUUCCUUUUCAGUGCCAUGAUGUCCUUGAGGAACAGAUUCAAUACAUGAGCAGCACAGCCAAUGGUUGUGAGGGUUGGACUCCACUUUAGACCAAGCAGCCUUCACGUUCGCAGCAUUGUCGGUCAUCAGUACAAAUACCUUCUGUGGUCCAAGGUCAUUUGAUUGCCUUCAGUUAAUCUGCAAUGUAGAGACCGGUGUGUCUGUGCUCUUAUAGAAUACUGGUUGAGUGGUGGAGAUGUAGUUAAUUAUUCCUUUCCCACAAACAUUCGAUCACCCAUCAGAUUGCAAUAGUCUGCUUUCUGAUAUGCUUGACCUUCACUUGAACUCUAUUGAACUCUGCAUCCAGCAAAUGAGUAGAUAAAGCAAGUCUGAUUGGAGGGUUGUAUGCUGGGCAAAGAACAUUCAGAAAUCUCUUCCAAUACACAUUGCCUGUGAGCAUCAGAGGUGUACCAGUUAUGUACACAGCUCAAGCAAAACAUUAUCAGCAUUUCUGACUAGGUUCCUCCAUUUGAGUUUAAAAAAAUUGGAUUCUAGGAGGACCAUGAGCUGUUGCUAUCGAAAAGAAGUAGAGGGACUUUUGUCAGAGAGUGCUCACAACAAGCAGCGAGGGAAUUUGAUGCAAUUGGCCAGAUUCUACGUCUUUGUUGCAUUCUUCACAUGAUUUGGCACAGUAUUUGCAAAUGUACAUAGCUUUUCCUUCUAUAUUAGCUGGAAUGAAAUGUCUCCACGCAUCAGUCCCCGUGGCAUUUUCCUGUAAAGAUUAGAAAAAAAGGAUAAAAAAAAAAAAAAAACACAAAUACAAUUCCAUGUACAGAUAAUUAGUUAAGCGGUUAGAUUAAAUAACUCCUUUGUAAGAUUUUUUUUAAAAAUGAAACCUGUAUGGAAACUGGUUUAGUAACACUCAGUUAGCAGGCUCAAGCAAACUAAAACCCACAUGGUAGCAAAAACUAACUAGCAGAAAUUGUUAACAAGUUAGAAAUGAUUAAAACACAAUUUGCUGGAGGCUAUUUACUAGUUAACAAAAAAAUAAUGUAUGUCAUAAAAUACAUUCACCCCACCCAGUAUUGUAAUCAAAACUUACCAGAAACCAUGCAGUCCUUGGCUCAGACAGUGUAGGAGUAUGGGCUCGAUAGCAUCUCAUUAGUGCAAGAUCUUGAUAAUCAGCUGUAUAUGUGAGGGAAGAAUGCACUGUACAUGCAGGGUUGCAAUUGGGGAUAGUUUAACCAAAAUAUGCCCAAAGACUUAGAACUGGCUUGUGUAUCCAACAAAGGUCCACUGUCAAGUAACUUUUGUGGUGAUUUUUAAGCUAAAUUCUCAGUCUUCCCAUGGAAAUGUUUGCAACUCUACUUGUAUGUAAUAUAACCUUUUCUGGGAAGUGUGUCCACUUAUGAACUGGAAUAUUUGUGGACCAUUGCCUUCCCUGAAAACAGGUCCUGACAGGAGGCGGAGCGAAAUGAGUGUCAGAGGUUGUCAUGCUGGAUGGUGCUGGAGGCUUUGGUUGUCCACACAGCGAAGACUCGUGCUGAUCUUGGUGCCAGUAAAGAUGGUCUUCACGGAGGCUAUAAAACCCUCUGUCCUUGAUAGAGAAAUCCUUCUACUUCACUGCCUCUUCAAUGGUAAGGUCCCUUGCACUGUAGGGACACUUUACCUCCAGCACUGCUGUGGUGCCCACCAGACCAUCCAGUGAGGCACCCAGGAUCCCAGACCUGUGACAGCCCUGUGACAGAGGGCUGUGUACAGGGCCUCUACUGACUGCACCUGCUUGGGCACAGCUGGCUUCCUCUACUUGCAUUCCACAUCUGCAAGGUCAAUAUUGUGAAUCGCCAAGAUAAGCUGCAUGGCUACACUUACAAGCUCCAUGGAGUCAUUCACAUGUGGUAGAGGGAAUCCCCCGGUCACAUAUAGAGACCUGCCAAGAGUCAGGAUGUUAAGUGCCACAUGCCUUUCAAUGCAAAAAAUGUGCUAUAUACUGAAUUUAUGUCAAAUAUAUCACUAGCUACUUUAAACAAUGCUACUUAAUAUAAUGUUUACAUACCCUACAUUACUCAUCUCAUAUGGAUAUACUGUACUCUAUACCAUCUACUGCAUCUUGCCUAUGCUAUUCUGUACCAUCACUCAUUCAUAUCUUUAUGUACAUAUUCUUUAUCCCUUUACACGUGUGUGUAUAAGGUAGUAGUUUUGGAAUUGUUAGGUUAGAUUACUCGUUGGUUAUUGCUGCAUUAUUGGAACUAGAAGCACAAGCAUUUCGCUACACUCGCAUUAACAUCUGCUAACCAUGUGUAUGUGACAAAUACAUUUGAUUCGGUUUGAAUAUUUAGCUUUAUGGCAUUGCACCUGUAGAAUACUUAAGCUGUCAUUUUCACAUGCAGAUUUUCCAUAAACUUAAUUGCCAAUUUAGGAUUUUACCACUUGACAUAUCAAUCCUAUAUUGGGAAGGAUCUUAUAAAUCAAGACUGCAUGCACGACUGAAUAAAUUCUGUGCUUUUCAA